AGUCCUUGUCAACCAGACUUGUUGGGUUUUUCAUUGUUAAUUCUAUUCUUUUGUCUAAUUGUGCAAACAAAGGCAAGAGAGGCAUUACAAGCGUCUUCUGUAGACAUAAAUAGGCCGCCUAACCGUGAACCACUGGAGCGCCCAACCUCUCCUAGAGAGGACGAACAUGAGGAGAAAGCUGGUGAGAUUCCCUGGGAGCAACGCUAUGAGAAAAUAUGGGUGGAGAACGACAAAAAGGAGACCAAGUCCCAGUACAAAAACGUAGCUGCUGAACUAAAAGAGAGGUUCGGAGAACUGGAGCACAAGGAACCACUGAGUGACCUUUCGGAGCAGGAGUGGAAAGAAGAUGAACAAGGUGAUGAAGAGGAAAAGAAAGAGGUGGAAAAGGAAGCAGAUGAUGAAGAUUCCAGUGAGGAAGAGGAAGAGGAAGAGUCAAUAGUGCGGCCCACCGCCCGGGCGAGAAGUGCCAUACUUUUGCCCAUCCCAGAGCAGAGAGAGUCAGGCCUGGAGGACUCGCAGUCUGAAAGUGUCCACCGCACCAUUAGUGUUGAGGUCAGUGAUGCAGAGCUUCCCAGUGACCAACAUAACCCUCAAAUCAUCCCAGGAGCCCGAACGGAUGAGGCCCAGGAGCCAGAGAACCGAACGGAUAACACUGAGGAACCUGAUAGUGGAAGCAAAGAUAAGUGUGCACUAGAAUCUGCAAGCAACAAAGACGAAGAACCUGAAGAGCUUUACAAACCUUCAACGCUUGUUGAGAACGAGCUACAAGUCCCACCCAAAGUUCUAGAAGUGCCCUCUUCUGACUCCAACGAGGUUGACAAGGGCCUGUGGAAGUCCAGACUUGAGGGUAAUAAGGAACAGUUGGAUGGUAUGAGGGGAGAACACCAGCCCAGUGCUUUAUGGGAUACUAGAGGAACCAGAGAACGAGGUGAACUUGACCAAGUAAAAGGGAAGAAAACUUACAACAACUCUGGGAACCCGAAACCUCAACAGGAAGGGAUGGCUGACGGCAGGUCUUUGGGAAGAGAGGGUAGUGUUUCACCAAGACAUCUGACAAGAAGUCCAAGAAGGUCCCCAUCUUCAAGGCGUAAGAAAGAGCAGAGUACUGGAGAGCUGGAGAUGGCAGAUGAUUUUGAAGAUCUCACCCAGUCUUCUGACACAGCCACUGAGGAGCUGGAGACUCCAGUAUCUGGAUACCACAAUGCAUCUCUGCUCUUCAAACAGCUCGACUCCAGUUAUCUGGACUCUGUGAGUGUGGUGAAACUACAGAACAUGUUUCAUGAGUACGAACGCACCAUCCAGAGGGAGAGAGACAGACACAGCCGUCUGGCGGAUAAAACCUCUCAGCUGGAGCAGGAACGCAACGAGCUCAAGAUCCUGCUGGAUGAUAUCAGAGGCAGCAAGACCAGCCUAGAACAUCUCAAACUGGAGCUGGAAACAGAUAUGAACAAUCUCAAGUGAGCUUAACUCGGUGCAUCUGCAACUCGGCAGGGUUUGUGACACUGACUCUCUCUUCUCUCUCUCUCACUCUCUUCUCAUGGAAGGUUCCUUUUGAGACAGGAACAGGAAAAGCAUCAGAGUGCUCACAUGCUGUAUAAUAAAACCCGUGAGCAGCUCCAGAGGAAAGAGGAGCAGCAGCGAGCCGAGGCCGAGGAGCACCACAAAGCUGAGCUGAAAGUCCGUAGUCUGGAACUGGAGAUCAGAGCCCUGAAGAACAGCAUCAAACAGGUCAACGGCAGCAGACUGGUAAAAGCAGCUCAUAACACAGUUUUCUCAGUGUGCUGAAGAGUGUGUUUGUGUGUUUAGCUUGAGGAGGACAGGGAUGAGUCCCAGCGUCUCCUGUCUCAUGAGCGCAGUGCUCGCGCCCUACAGGAGGAGUUACUCAACAACCACCUGCGUAAGCAGCAGAACAUUGAGGAGGAGAACCUUCGAAACCUCAACAAGAGCAAUGAGGUACCGCUGCCACCUUCUCAAAACUUCAUAUGCUUGUCUGGGAAUAUUUAGAAAUGUUCUGUUUAUAUUAGCAGCUAGCAAAUUCAUUGCAACUAAUAUGUAGUCAGAAGUGAAGUGAUGUAAUGUCAUAAUUUUACUUCCACAAAUGCAGAGAAGUCACCGCAUUACAGCUAUAUAUGCAGUGACAUUAUCGCUUAAAGGGAUAAUUCACCCAAAAACGAAAAUUAGCCGAUUUUCCUAACCUACUCACCCUCAAGCCAUCCUAGGUGUAUACGACUUUAUUCUUUCAGACGAAUACAAUCAGAGUUAUAUUAAAAACUGUCCUGGCUCUUCCAAGCUUUAUAAUGAAAGUGAAUGGGGGGUCGAGAUUUUGAAACCCAAAAAAGUGCGUCCAUCCAUCAUAAAAAGUGGAUACACUACGUAGGUUACGCUACACCUACGUCAUCCUCUGGAACGCCACUCUCUUGUGAACGCACGUACGACAGAUUACGGU
ensembl:lncRNA